GGGUGGGGGAGGGCUGGAGGAGCCGCUGGAAUUCUCGGCAGGAGACGCGCGCGCAGCCCUCGCAGCGCGCGCCUCGUUCGCCUCCCGAUGGAGAGUGGCGCGCUCCUCUUCGUCUACUUUUUGGUGGAAUUCGCGCGCCUAUGUCUCCACCAUCGAUUCCACGUGUUACGAUCUGUGUCACACACACACACGGGUAUAGUUUAUUCAGGGGGUUGGGGGUUUGUCAAUAAGUAAUUUGGAGAAGCCUUGCUCGACCAUCACGCAGACGUAUACCAAUAGAACAUAGCAGCAGGUGAUGAGGAACACGCGGUGCCACUCCCGUUGGAGUAAGGCCACCUGAGAUCGGUGAGGUUAAAAGGAGUCCCCUGGGGCUUGUGGAGGUCGAAGCGGUAGCGGGCUGGGCUGGGCUCUGCUCCAUCCUGGGCUCCGUGCUGCGUUCCAGCGGCUGUUGUGUGUAGUUUUGUUUUAAUGUAUUAUUUUAAAUAAACGCAUUUAUGAUGAUGAACUCCGAAUCUGCCGCUGUCGCUCUGGCGCGUUCUGAGCCGACCGAUCACAGGCGACGGGAUGAGAUGUUCCCGUCAAGACGCGAAGUCGAGCUCCAGAGCUCCGAUUAUAAUGAUCACGGUUGGCUACGUACGGUGCGAAAUAAGUUCAACAUUCAUGAACUCACCUCGUCAAUCUGUCUCCAUGGCGGUCAUCCUCUUCGACGCGUCCACUCCUUUGGCUGAAAUACUGCACCCGUCUCGUACAUCGGCCUUCUAGAUGUUCUCUGUCCAAGUUUGCUUAAAGUUAAACAAUUAUACUUUGUAGUCGUCCCGUAUGCUCUUUUAAUUCACGUGUUCCCUUUUUUAUAGCUCUCAACGCAAUCAUGAGCGUGUCUCUCCCAAUAUUCUUUGUAAAAUUUUAUUCAUUGAUAAAAAAAAAUUGUAUCACGUUUCUGAUUCGUGUCAUAGCAGGUAAGUAACAUGUUCGUCACGUUGGUGUCUGCGCGUGUGUGCGUGUUACGUUUAAUGAUCACGUUCAACUUACUCAAAAACACCCCUUGCCUGCCAUGUGUCCGAGUCUUUAUCUCAUAAUUUAAAUCCCGCUCACCUUCAAUACCCGUCCUAGAUGAUCACAGCCGCGUUUUCCAAUUGUCCCACGGAUAUCGAAAAUUGUUUGGCGAACUGCUCUACACGACCUGUCGGUCUUUAUUUAAAUUUCAAAAUUAGCCGCUGUUAAUUGCCAUUGGAUGUCAUGAUGACCUCUUAAGCAAAUCGGAGAUGCUUAAUCUAUAUAUGUUUUGAUCCAUUUAAAGUGAAACGCGUGCUCUUCUUUCUCCCAGUGGAACGUUUGUAAUACGAAACUUUAAUUUUGCUGUAACAACUUUGGGUGUAGCAGAGCAGCCGACAGCUAAAUUACAGAUACGUGAGGGUCAUACACAUUCUUUGUUGAGAUUACACGCACACGCUAUUGUGGGGAACAGCCGUGGAGACGUACGAAUAAUAGCCAUUAGCGUGGACUUUAAAGAUGCCACUACACUGUAAAAACCGAGACUGGGGUUAAUUAAUGUUUAGUAAAUAUAUAGGAGUAGCCUAUACAUAAAAAUAAUGACUAUGUGUAGUUUAGAAUCACAUUGAGCUGAAUUCAACACCUUUCUAUUAGUUAUUAAUUGUAUUUUACUCAAUUUUGUUCAAAUAAAAUCAGCCAUCAAUAACUGAGUAGAAUUUAAUUGUAUUUUAUCAGGAAAGUCAAAAAUGCCAAAAAUUGAUUAAUUUUACUAACCGGGAGGUUUUUGAAUUUAAUAACGUUACACUUCCGCCCAAACUCGAGGCAUUUUUUCGCGCCACGUGCAUGUCAACCAUCUUCUUCAACAGACACGUUUCAGGGACCGCCGUUCUCCCAAAGGUAAGACAUGUUUUAUUAUUUUAGCGAACAUUUUUUUAACAAAGGUGUGGUAGCAGUUGAACAUUGUUUUAUGUUACUGCAUAUUACCAGCAUGCCAAUAUCAGAAUUAACUAGCACAACGUUAGGCCUUUGGAAGUCAGUCUGAUUUGACUAAAAGCACGAGACUAUAAUUUUUGUUCCGCACACGAAAAAGUAACGUGUGUGAUUAAAACUAGACUAUAUUCAUUCGGAUCACAGCGUGUAUCGAACCAAAAGUCCUGUACCUGCCGUUACACCUCCAGUAUAUUAUAUCUUGCUGUUGAUGUACGUACAGUAUGCUAACGUUAGCUAGCUUGCCACCAGUCAGUUAGCGUCACCCUUACGUUGUGGCUAGCUUGUUGUGUAGUUGCUAGCUAGCUAGAUGAUGUGAGUGACAAGAAGUUGAUGUGCUAAAUGUGAGCAUGAAAAUUUGAAUAUUAAAAAUAAUAAGGAAUUAUCUUGUAAAUGUGCUCCUAUUGUCCUCAUGUGAUUAGAGACCUGGUGGCCUUGCAUCUGAUACAUGGACCUUUUUCUGCCUCAGGUUUUUGCUUAUGGAAUGGAAGUGUAAGAUCUGCAAGUCUUUGUCUGCCACAAAGGGAAAUCUACUAAAGCAUUACAGACUACAACACGCAACAUUUGGUCGUGGGCAAUCCCAGCCAUGCCUAUAUGACAGUUGCCCUUGCACAUUUAAAACACAGAGUGCCCUUCGCACACAUUUGUCCAGAUACCAUUCAGAUGAAGAAAGUCUACGGUCAGGAAACAUACUGCUUUUAAGUGUUUAGUUUGCAAUGCUUGUUGUUCUAUAGAGAAGGACUACUUUCAGCAUAUUGGAAAUCAUCUGAAGAGCCACGAAACUGUAUUUUGUGUAUUUGCAGGAUGCAGCUUUCAGACAAAUAUAUACAAUACAUUUCUAAAACACAAAAGCAAAAGACACAAAUCCUAUUCUUUGAGUGAUUUUAAGAAAGAUGUGUAUGAGAGUCGCCAUAAUCAGACUGUUGACCAUUCUGAUUUACCAGAGGCCAAUGAUGGUGAGGGCACUAGUUUAGAUUGUGAUCAGGAAAGUGCAUCAUACUUAGUUCUUCAAAGAAUUGGCUUACUUCUGCUGAAGCUAGAAACCAUCUAUAAUGCCUCAGUGAAGUGCAUUGAUGCCUUGGUUGAAGACCUUCAGUUCAUUUCAUCUUCAGUAUCAGCUGCAGUUGUUAGGAACAUACUAGAUUCAACAUUGAAGGUGAAUAAAUGCAUUGUUGACCAGGCCAUCGUAACUGAAUUGUCAACAGUUGUGCAACUUCCAUCCCAUUAGUACAGCACUUGGAGCAGGUGGUCCACUUGGUUCAGCUUUUAAGAGAAGAAAGUAUUUUAAGGUGCAUUUCCAGUGUGUUGAUAGCAUUGAAUAUAUUAUUGAUACUGAAAAGAACAAGACCUUUCAAUAUGUGCCUAUUCUCCAGACUUUGCAGGAAGUCUUGAAGAAUGAAGACAUUGCAGAAAUAAUUUUAUCCAGAAAAUCAAAUAGUACUGGAUAUAUUAAGUCAAUUUUUGAUGGAAAAUCCUUCAAGCAAAAUGUAUUUUAUGCUGGGGAAGAAACAAGACUGUCUAUAAUCCUUUACGUUGACGACUUUGAAGUGUGUAACCCACUAGGAACUUCGAGAAAAAAAACACAAAAUAACAGCUGUUUAUUGGGUUUUGGCAAAUGUUCCAACAAAGUUGCAAUCUGCAUUAACGUCAAUACACCUAGCUUUACUUUGCAAAGCUGUUGAUGUCAAACAGUUUGAAUACAGAGCAGUUUUGGAACCACUCUUGAAGGAUCUUGUCAUUCUAGAACAGGAAGGGAUUUUCAUUUCCAGUGUUAAAGGGACAGUACAUUGUGUUGUAGCUGACAAUCUCGAUGCACAUUCUAUCAGUGGACUAGUUGAAUGUUUCACGGGGCCGUACAUCUGUAGAUUUUGUCUUGGACAUUCUUCAGAGUACCAGACACACGAAGUGCGGACCGGAGUGUUUCCACCUCGGACAAAGAAGGAACAUAGUUUGCAUGUGCAAACUGAGAGAAAAUCCAAAUGUUACUCAUUGCUUUGGCGUAAAGCGGUCGUGUCCAUUGACUGAUAAAUUAAAUCACUUUCAUUUUGAGUCUGGGUACCCACCAGAUGUACUACAUGACCUUUUGGAAGGCAUAGUCCCAAGGGAACUAGCAUUGUGUUUUCAGAUUUUCACCAAGAAGAAGUACUUCAGUUUGACUGAGCUUAACGAGUUAAUAACUGAGUCUGACUGUCAAAGUUCUGCGUUAUAGGCCUAUACAUCUGAUAGGCUAUCAGAGAAUGCACUGAUUUGUUAUUGAAAGCUAUCUUUAUUUUUGUUUAAUGUUUCUUGGGUGUUCUAACAUUGUGCUUUCUUCUGAUGUGACGCUGACCUAGGCCAUUGCAAGUGUUUGUUCUAAAGGAAUAGAUGUAAGAUGCAUAGAACAUCUGUAGGCUGUGCUAGUUUACUUGUUAGAAAGCCAUGCUUGUACUGUAAUUAUGCAUGUUAAAAAAGAUAGGUCCACCCGGAUUGUGGAUUAUGGCUACUAGUAUAAGUACAGGGAAUGCAAGUCAAUUCACGUGAUGUUUUAAUCUCUUUUAGCUGUUUGAAAAACAUAUUGGCCCUUAGGAUUUCAAUUUGCGCAUAUAAAAAAGAAAUAAUAUGAAAGUUUUUUUACAGAUUUUUUUUAAAACAUUGUCGUAAUUUAAAUGUGCUAAAAAGACUAAACCUUGAAUCACAUCCAAAAAAGUAAUCUGUGCCUGUAAUGCCCACAAAUUAUAAAUACCUCCAGUAUUGUUCCCCGAUUGUACACAUACAUGAUUUCUGUCUUUGUUUUGUACUUGUAAUAUGUUGGAUAAACAUGUUGAGACAAAAUUGCACGAAUAAAUGUUAACCUGCU